GUGACUGUGUAUUAAGUAACAUGGUUUUAACUAUUCCAAAUAUGAAUAAUUAUUAAAGCAUAUGUGAUCAAUAAUGCAAGAAGAAAGACUGAAAUAUCUUUUUUAUUUUCUCUGUAUAAAAUGAUAUUAUAGGCUGCUGGGGAGGGCAGGAAAGCCGCACCCACCCAGCAAGGGCUCCGUGACUGGGUUCCCAGGACUGUCGAAGGAAGGUAUAACUGGGUGGGAGGGUGGGUAGCUUAUGCUCUCCAAGACUGCCUUUCCAAACUCUUUGACACCUAAGAAAAGGUGAACAAGUUCUAUUUUCAAGAGAAGAUGGCUUUUAACAGUUUUGAAGGAUCUAAAGCUGUGUAUCUGCAGACAUCAAUAAGGACGAAGAAUUUGUAGAAGAGUUUAACGGAUAAAAAACUUUUGCUAGUUUUCCAAGUAGUAGUCCUGUUUCAGCAUCAACACUGGCACAAGUAGGUUUUCUUUAUAUUGGUGAAGGAGACACCAUGUGGUGCUUUAGUGGUCAUGCAGGAGUAGAGAGAAGGCAAUAUGGAGACUCAACAGUUGGCAGACACAAGAAAGUAUCCCAAAUUGCAGAUUACCAACGGCUUUUUUUUUUUUUUUUGAGAUGGAGUCUCACUCUGUUGCCCAGGCUGGAGUGCAGUGGCGCGAUCUCGGCUCACUGCCAGCUCCACCUCCCGGGUUCACGCCAUUCUCCUGCCUCAGCCUCCUGAGUGGCUGGGACUACAGGCACCCACCACCAUGCCCAGCUAACUUUUUGUAUUUUUAGUAGAGACGGAGUUUUACUGUGUUAGCCAGGAUGGUCUCGAUCUCCUGACCUCGUGAUCUGCCCACCUCAGCCUUCCAAAGUGCUGGGAUUACAGGUGUGAGCCACCGCUCCCGGCCGGCAUUUACUUUUAAAAUAGUGACACAAAACCUGCAAAUCCUAGUAUCCAAAAUGGUCAGUACAAAGUUGAAAACUGGGAAACAGUAAUCAAUUUGCCUUAGGCAGGCCAUCUGAGAUUCAUGCAGAUUAUCUUUUGAUAACCGGACAGGCUUAAAUGUAUCAGAUACCAUAUACCCAAGAAACCCAGAAACCCAUCAUGUAUAGUGAGGAAGCUCAACUAUAGUCAUUCCAGAACUGGCCAAACUAUGCCCACUUAACCCCAAGAGAGAGAGUUAGUGCUGAACUCUAAUACACAAGUAUUGAUGACCAAGUGCAGUGCUUUUAUUGUGGUAGAAAACUGAAAAAUUGGGAACCUUAUAGUGCUGGCUGGUGGCAGAAGAACAUAGGCAACACUUUCUUAAUUGCUUCUUUGUUUUCGGCCAGAAUGUUAAUAUUUGAAGUGAAUCUGACAUUGUUGAGUUCUGAUAGGAAUUUCCCCAAUUCAACAAAUCCUCUGAAGAAAUCCAUCCAUGGAGCAUUAUGAAGCACAGAUCAUUACUUUGGGGAUGUGGAUGUACUCAGUUAACAAGCAGCAGCAUGCAGGAGCUGAAUUUUAUGCUUUAGGUAAAGGUGAUAAAGUAAAAUGCUUUUGCUGUGGAAGAAGGCUAACUGAUGGAAACCCAUUGAACACCCCCGGGAACAACAUGCUAAGUGGUAUCCAAGGUGUAAAUAUCUAUUACAGGAGAAGAACAAGAAUAUAUAAGUAAUAUCCAUUUAACCCAUUCACUUGAGGAGUCACUGGUGAGAAGUGCUGAAAAAAAUGUCAUCACUAACUAUAAGAAUGGAUUAUACCAUCUUUCAAAAUCCUAUGUUACAAGAAGCUACACAAAUGGGAUUCAGUUUAAAGAAUAUUGAGAAAAUAAUGGAAGAAAAAAUUCAAACAUCUGGGAGCAACUAUAAGUCACCUGAGGUUCUGGUUGC
rnacentral:lncRNA from 1 species